CCUACGGGGUGCAGCAGUGGGGAAUAUUGGACAAUGGGCGAAAGCCUGAUCCAGCCAUGCCGCGUGUGUGAAGAAGGCCUUCGGGUUGUAAAGCACUUUCAGUGGGGAAGAAAGCCUUGGGGCUAAUACCCUCGAGGAAGGACAUCACCCACAGAAGAAGCGCCGGCUAACUCCGUGCCAGCAGCCGCGGUAAUACGGAGGGUGCGAGCGUUAAUCGGAAUUACUGGGCGUAAAGCGCGCGUAGGCGGUCUGAUAAGCCGGUUGUGAAAGCCCCGGGCUCAACCUGGGAACGGCAUCCGGAACUGUCAGGCUAGAGUGCAGGAGAGGAAGGUAGAAUUCCCGGUGUAGCGGUGAAAUGCGUAGAGAUCGGGAGGAAUACCAGUGGCGAAGGCGGCCUUCUGGACUGACACUGACGCUGAGGUGCGAAAGCGUGGGUAGCAAACAGGAUUAGAUACCCUGGUAGUC
rnacentral:rRNA from 1 species